AGUAAUGUCAUUACAAUAGUUACAUUCGAAACUGGUCAGGUCCGGAAGGAAGCAGCCAUAAGACUAAGGACUAUGUGUAAUGGCAUUUUUUAU
rfam:Spiroplasma eriocheiris strain DSM 21848, complete genome.